rnacentral:rRNA from 1 species
GAUGAACGCUGGCGGCGUGCCUAAUACAUGCAAGUCGAGCGAAUGGACGAGAAGCUUGCUUCUCUGAUGUUAGCGGCGGACGGGUGAGUAACACGUGGAUAACCUACCUAUAAGACUGGGAUAACUUCGGGAAACCGGAGCUAAUACCGGAUAAUAUUUUGAACCGCAUGGUUCAAAAGUGAAAGACGGUCUUGCUGUCACUUAUAGAUGGAUCCGCGCUGCAUUAGCUAGUUGGUAAGGUAACGGCUUACCAAGGCAACGAUGCAUAGCCGACCUGAGAGGGUGAUCGGCCACACUGGAACUGAGACACGGUCCAGACUCCUACGGGAGGCAGCAGUAGGUAAUCUUCCGCAAUGGGCGAAAGCCUGACGGAGCAACGCCGCGUGAGUGAUGAAGGUCUUCGGAUCGUAAAACUCUGUUAUUAGGGAAGAACAUAUGUGUAAGUAACUGUGCACAUCUUGACGGUACCUAAUCAGAAAGCCACGGCUAACUACGUG